rnacentral:rRNA from 1 species
AGUCAUAUGCUUGUCUCAAAGAUUAAGCCAUGCAUGUCUAAGUAUAAGCGACUAUACUGUGAAACUGCGAAUGGCUCAUUAAAUCAGUUAUGGUUUAUUUGAUGGUACCUUGCUACUUGGAUAACCGUAGUAAUUCUAGAGCUAAUACAUGCAGGAGUUCCCGACUCACGGAGGGAUGUAUUUAUUAGAUAAGAAACCAAACCGGUCUCCGGUUGCGUGCUGAGUCAUAAUAACUGCUCGAAUCGCACGGCUCUACGCCGGCGAUGGUUCAUUCAAAUUUCUGCCCUAUCAGCUUUCGAUGGUAGGAUAGAGGCCUACCAUGGCGUUAACGGGUAACGGAGAAUUAGGGUUCGAUUCCGGAGAGGGAGCCUGAGAAAUGGCUACCACAUCCAAGGAAGGCAGCAGGCGCGUAAAUUGCCCGAAUCCUGACACAGGGAGGUAGUGACAAGAAAUAACAAUACAGGGCUAUUUUAGUCUUGUAAUUGGAAUGAGUACAAUUUACAUCUCUUCACGAGGAUCAAUU